rnacentral:rRNA from 1 species
GACGAACGCUGGCGGCGUGCCUAAUACAUGCAAGUAGAACGCAGUUGCGAACGGGUGAGUAACGCGUAGGUAACUGCCUCAUAGCGGGGGAUAACUAUUGGAAACGAUAGCUAAUACCGCAUACUGUGAGAUGGACCUGCGUUGUAUUAGCUAGUUGGUGAGGUAAAGGCUCACCAAGGCGACGAUACAUAGCGGACCUGAGAGGGUGAUCGGCCACCUUGGAACUGAGCAACGGCCCAGAUCCCUAGGGGAGGCAGCAGAGGGGAAUAUUGGAAAAUGGGGGAAAGCCUGACCCAGACAUGCCGCGUGUGUGAAGAAGGUCUUCGGAUUGUAAAGCACUUUGAGUUGGGAGGCGUUACCAACAGAAUAAGCACCGGCUAACUUCGUGCCAGCAGCCGCGGUAAUAC